UGAGUACAGUUUUUACAAACCCGUGGGAACGGAUAUUGUGAAAGCGUGCGCACGGAUUAUGAAUUCGUGGGUACGGAUUCAAAAACCGAGGGUACGGUUUGCAAAAUCUGAGCGCACGGAUUGGAAAUUCGUGGGUACGGUUUGUUAAUCCGUGGGCACUGUUUGUUAAACCGAGGGAACAGUUUAAAAAUUCGUGACAUGCCGGGCUUCGUACAUUCUCAAGCGUCUAUCAAAGAGAGAAUUGUUUCUUCACUGCUUGUGCACUUGCUAUCAUCUUUUCUUGGUACCAAAGCAGAUUCUCAAUCAGAUACAGGGCAUGCAGAAAGAGAUGACCUGGAAAGAGUUUAAAGAGUCUGGAAAGACGGAGAUGGGUGGCCCCUUGGUAAUAUUUUACUCAUGUAUAUACUGUGAAUUUUGAUGUGUUUAUUUUUCAGUGUGAGAUUGUAAUGUCUAUAUAUUUUCUGAAUUCUGUUUUUCUUUCUAGUUUAUUAUUUUUGAUUGAUAUUUACUUAUCUUAAAAAGUGCUUAAAGCAUUUUAUAAAAAUAAAACUGAAAAUUACAAAUUGCUUCA
ensembl:lncRNA